UAUAUUUUAUAACCACAUAACUUGUGAAUACUGACACAACAAAACAUGAAUCAUAAUCUGUGAGGACCUUACAGAAUAUGAAAGACUGAAUGAAUUAGGUAUUUACAUUCUUUGAUUUACUUUCAUUUUAGCUAAAGCACAAAUAGCUUCCACUUUUAAAUCCCUCCACAGAGUUAGUUCCCUCAGCUAGUGUUUCCGGUCAACACUUAUCCUGCACUUCAACUCAUCACUUGAUAAUUCACCAUAUAUACAUCUUUGCUUUAUGAAUUCAGAUAGGAGCAAGACACGUUUUCUAUUACAUUUUGGUUUGAGUUUGCUAUUUCAAACACGAAGUUCUAACUCUGUGCCAUCUUUCGGCUGUGUCCUUGGUUGCCAUGUGCAUACUUUAUUUUUUUCUUUCGUGCUUCCCUCACAUAUUCCUCAGUUUCUGCUAAAGACAUGAAUAAAACUGCCGUCAGCUCAAGCCUGAACAUAAAUGAAAGUCUUACAGCUUGCCUGCAUCUGGACAGAUUUUGAAUGGAAGCGUCUCUAAUGGUGCCGGCAGUAUUCAACUCAGAUUCAUACAGGAUGAAUCACUUCGCUCAUCAUUUACACGAUACCACCGAUGAAUUAUUCAUAUGGAAAGUUGUGGGUCUGACCAUCCAUAAAGAAAGGGUCAAACUUCUGGAAGACAACAUCGACCCAGAGGUCAGUGGCGUUGCAGCUUUAUCCGAUCGGCGCCCAGGACAAACAGCACAGAGGUUCACGUCAGGUAAAAAUUUAAAGACGGGAGCAGAAAUGGACAUUAAAUAUUUUACUGACCUCAUUGAAUUUUUCAUGCAGUGCAACAUCUGUCCGUGAGAAAACACAGUCUUAAAAAAAUGUAGGCAGGAGAUCAGAAGGCAGCUCAGAUUUUGUUUUUUGUUAAUAUCUGCGAAUCUGUGCAAAUGUUCAAAAGGUUUUCCUGUUGCUGCUUUAGUGGUGUCAGUUCUUCCUGCCUUUAUGAAGAAGCAAGAAAAGAAUGUCAGUGAAGGCUUGAAACAAGACCAGAGAGACACAUCAUCCUUCAUUUAAUCCCAGAGUUUCAGGAAUUGUUGCCCGCAAAGUUUAAAUAAUUUUAUUUUAAGAUCCAUUCGUCAUUUUAUUUUCACUGUGGUAGUUUUGGAAGAGUUUGACUGGUUUUAUUAUAUAUUAUAGUUAGAGCCACUUGGGUUAAAAUGUCAACUUUGUAUUUAUAGUGUCAUAAUUUACCGAAUGACAACAGUAAUAAACAUUCAUGACAACUUACUCAUGUUGAUGACAGGUGUUAUGUCAUGUUUAUGACGGUGUCAUGACAGUCUAAUUCACAACCCGUCAG